AAGCUAGUAAGAUCCCUGAAAGAUGAUCAGGUUGAUAGGUCAGAGGUGGAAGCGUGGCGACAUGUGUAGCUGACUGAUACUAAUCGAUCGAGGACUUAACCA
rnacentral:rRNA from 1 species